rnacentral:lncRNA from 1 species
GAUUACAGAAUAGUAAAAGCCUAACCCUAACCCUGCCUGCGCUGCGCAGCUUCUUCUUCGAUCUUCUUCGAUUUUCUUCGGUUCUUCGUCUUCCUCAUUUUCUCCCAAACAUUAAUAAGAAACGUCGCCGCUCUCUCCCGCUUUGAAGUGCUUUUUGUAAGUUCUUUUCAUAUUUCAGGUAAGCUUUAUUUUCAUUUUUUUGCCAAUUUCUUUUUUUCCCCAAUUUGUUUCGGUUCUAUUUAAACUUUUAAAUUUUGACGACUGAAUAUAAUGACUGAUGUCGUUCUUAAUCUGUCUAAUUCUCGCUCCAAUUUCAUGGCUGUUGUGAAGGUUUUUUAAUUGUCAUCCUCUCAUAUCUGCAACUUAGAUGUUUCGAAAGAUUUGUUCUUGACAAAAAUUGUCCGUCCGUGUUUUAAUCUUUUUUUAAAAUAUAUCUUUAAUGAGAAUUUGCUCUUGUAAUUCCUUGCUCUUAAAACAUAUCUUUUAUGUCGAUUGAUUACAUGUCCUUGCUCAUUCCUUAUGUGAGAGGUUUGAUAUUUGUUUCAUUUUCCAGAUUGAGUGCAAUACGGCUUGAGGAGAAGGAGAAAAGGGAGAAGGAAAUUGUAAGGGAAAUAAUUGAAGAAGCAGAGGAAUACAAAGCAGGAAANNNN